UAAUUAUAAUAUAAUAAUUUAUUAUUACUGAUUACAAAAUAAAAGAAUGAAUGUUGACUGUAAUAAUAAUAUCUGUGAUAGUGUGAUGUAAAAGCAACCAAAGUUAUUAUGAAAGACUAAAUGCACCCCAGCAAGUUAGGACCAUUGGGCACAAUUAUCUUAACUUCUUUCCAUCAUCUUUGUAGUGGUAAAAAAGUAAUUGAGACAAAACUAAAUUACUAGCCUAUUUUUACAUGGCUCUAAGUCACGGCCCUGUAUGCAAUUUAGAAGCAAACUGAAUAAACGUAACAUUAACAACAA